rnacentral:rRNA from 1 species
GAUGAACGCUAGCGGCAUGCUUUACACAUGCAAGUCGAACGGCAGCACGGGGACAACCCUGGUGGCGAGUGGCGAACGGGUGAGUAAUGCAUCGGAACAUGCCCAGUCGUGGGGGAUAACGUAGCGAAAGUUACGCUAAUACCGCAUACGUCCUGAGGGAGAAAGCGGGGGAUCGCAAGACCUCGCGCGAUUGGAGUGGCCGAUGUCAGAUUAGCUAGUUGGUGGGGUAAAGGCCUACCAAGGCGACGGUCUGUAGCGGGUCUGAGAGGAUGAUCCGCCACACUGGGACUGAGACACGGCCCAGACUCCUACGGGAGGCAGCAGUGGGGAAUUUUGGACAAUGGGGGCAACCCUGAUCCAGCCAUGCCGCGUGCGGGAAGAAGGCCUUCGGGUUGUAAACCGCUUUCGGACGGAAAGAAAUCGCUUGGGUUAAUACCCUGAGUGGAUGACGGUACCGUAAGAAGAAGCACCGGCUAACUACGUGCCAGCAGCCGCGGUAAAAC